UCUCCUACGGGGCGCAGCAGUGGGGAAUAUUGCACAAUGGGGGAAACCCUGAUGCAGCGACGCCGCGUGAGUGAAGAAGCGCCUCGGCGCGUAAAGCUCUGUCAGCAGGAACGAUAAUGACGGUACCUGAAGAAGAAGCCCCGGCUAACUACGUGCCAGCAGCCGCGGUAAUACGUAGGGGGCAAGCGUUAUCCGGAUUUACUGGGUGUAAAGGGAGCGUAGACGGUGCAGCAAGUCUGAUGUGAAAGGUCGGGGCUCAACCCCAGGACUGCAUUGGAAACUGUUAGGCUGGAGUGUCGGAGAGG
rnacentral:rRNA from 1 species